rnacentral:tRNA from 1 species
GUGGGUGUAGCUCAGUUGGUCAGAGCGCCAGGUUGUGGCCCUGGAGGCCGAGGGUUCGAAGCCCUUCACUCACCCCA